rnacentral:rRNA from 1 species
GUGUCAGCCGCCGCGGUAAUACUGGGGUCCCAAGCGUUGUUCGGAUUUACUGGGCGUAAAGGGUGCGUAGGCGGCUAGAAAAGUUUGGUGUGAAAUCUCCGGGCUCAACCCGGAAACUGCAUUGAAAACUAGAUAGCUAGAGGAUCGGAGAGGAGAUUGGAAUUCUCGGUGUAGCAGUGAAAUGCGUAGAUAUCGAGAGGAACACCAGUUGCGAAGGCGGAUCUCUGGACGGUUCCUGACGCUGAGGCACGAAAGCUGGGGUAGCGAAGAGGAUUAGAUACCCUCGUAGUCCCAGCCGUAAACGGUGCGCACUUGCUGUGGGCGGAUUCGACCCCGUCCGUGGCGAAGCUAACGCGUUAAGUGCGCCGCCUGGGGAGUACGGUCACAAGAUUAAA